GGAUAAGUUAGAAAGGGCGCACGGUGAAUGCCUUGGCACUAGGAGCCGAUGAAGGACGCGACGAACCGCGAUAGGCUUCGGGGAGCUGUAAGUAAGCUUCGAUCCGGAGAUUUCCGAAUGGGGGAACCCACCAUCCGUAAUGGGAUGGUACUGGCAUCUGAACACAUAGGAUGUCGAGAGGCAGACCCGGGGAACUGAAACAUCUAAGUACCCGGAGGAAGAGAAAGCAAAUGCGAUUUCCUGAGUAGCGGCGAGCGAAACGGAAACAGCCCAAACCAAGAGGCUUGCCUCUUGGGGUUGUAGGACACUCAA
rnacentral:rRNA from 2 species